CCGCCAGGCGACUGAUGCAGACAUCCUGCUGGUUCACAGUGAGGAGUACUUGGAGGCAGUGAAGAAGACCCCUUAUAUGACUCUGGAGGACCUGAAGGAGUUCACCCUGCAGUAUGGCGACGUCUACUUCCACCCAAACAUCUAUCACUGCGCCAAGCUGGCUGCCGGCGCCGCUCUGCAACUAGUGGACAGUGUUAUGACGGGGAAGGUGAGGAACGGCAUGGCUCUGGUCAGGUGAGUUAACC